CAGCAUGCGCUGCCCACCAAGAGGUCGGUAGGAGCAAACAAAGGAAUUAAUUUUGCUGCUGCGUUGGGCUGGUCCGCAUAGGGAGAUGGAGCAGCGAGGGGAAUCAAUUUUGCUACUAUGUGAUCGAUUUUGCUGCUAUGUGCUCGAUUUUGCGUGUGACAGGGAGAUUGGUGGUGCGGUUUUGAUGUUGCUGCUUGUGCUGCAUUGGUUCUUGCCGUGGGAAUGGGAGCAAAGAUCCGAUAUUGAUCAUUUACUUUACAUUUCCUUAUCAAUGUGCCAUUUAUUUUCUUUAAUAUCAUGUACUUUAAUUUGCAUGGACUUUAGUUUGACGCCUAUCAUGGGUUUAUACUGCCUUAUGCAGCAUCUGCUACAAUGCUGAUAGAUGGGCAGAACAUGUAUCAUUGCUCAUUCCCAGUGGCAUGGUUUGAUCCUGCGGAAGUUAUCUUAUCUUUAUGAUUCAUCAAGGAGGGGUCACGAUGUUGUCAAAUCUAUAUAUUUUUUGUUUAUGAAAUGGUGACUCUCAAUCUAUUUGGAACAUCAAUAGUCUAAGAGGCAAGUCUGUCAAGCACUACACUCUUGCAACAGGUUUUGCUUGUGCAAAGGGGUCUCCACUUGAUCAGAAGCCGGAAAAUGUUGUUGCCAUGAUUAAACUCCUUUACAAGAUAAAAACAGGAGGCUUAGUAGUUUGGACAAAAGGAGACAUACAUUUUGUUUACAGAGAAAGCAAUUAUCAGCAAAACACAAAGCAUAGUUACUAUUUCGUGAGUGAUGUUCAAAAUAUGAAACACAAUGUUUCUACAACCCUACUUGAAUAUGGUAACUUCUUCAAAGUGCUAACCAAUGCUAAUGGCAAAGCAGAUGAUGCUUUAUUACAAGAAAAGUAUCAAAGCAUUUGUGGUCUGAAGGAUGAAGAACCUGUCAAGAGAACUCUCUACGAGAGAGAAGUCAACAGAUUAUUAGAUA